GACGAACGCUGGCGGCGUGCUUAACACAUGCAAGUCGAACGGAAAGGCCCUGCUUUUGUGGGGUGCUCGAGUGGCGAACGGGUGAGUAACACGUGAGUAACCUGCCCUUGACUUUGGGAUAACUUCAGGAAACUGGGGCUAAUACCGGAUAGGAGCUCCUGCUGCACGGGGGGGGUUGGAAAGUUUCGGCGGUUGGGGAUGGACUCGCGGCUUAUCAGCUUGUUGGUGGGGUAGUGGCUUACCAAGGCUUUGACGGGUAGCCGGCCUGAGAGGGUGACCGGCCACCUUGGGCCUGCGAUACGGCCCAGACUCCUACGGGAGGCAGCAGUGGGGAGUAUUGCACAAUGGGCGGGCGCCUGAUGCAGCAACGCCGCGUGCGGGAUGACGGCCUUCGGGUUGUAAACCGCUUUCGCCUGUGACGAAGCGUGCGUGACGGUACUGGGUAAAGAAGCACCGGCUAACUACGUG
rnacentral:rRNA from 1 species